rnacentral:rRNA from 1 species
GGGCUACCAUGCAGUCGACGGUCACAGGAAGAAGCUUGCUUCUUCGCUGACGAGUGGCGGACGGGUGAGUAAUGUCUGGGAAACUGCCUGAUGGAGGGGGAUAACUACUGGAAACGGUAGCUAAUACCGCAUAACGUCGCAAGACCAAAGAGGGGGACCUUCGGGCCUCUUGCCAUCGGAUGUGCCCAGAUGGGAUUAGCUAGUAGGUGGGGUAACGGCUCACCUAGGCGACGAUCCCUAGCUGGUCUGAGAGGAUGACCAGCCACACUGGAACUGAGACACGGUCCAGACUCCUACGGGAGGCAGCAGUGGGGAAUAUUGCACAAUGGGCGCAAGCCUGAUGCACCCAUGCCGCGUGUAUGAAGAAGGCCUUCGGGUUGUAAAGUACUUUCAGCGGGGAGGAAGGGAGUAAAGUUAAUACCUUUGCUCAUUGACGUUACCCGCAAAAGAAGCACCGGCUAACUCCGUGCCAGCGCCCCGGGGGGAAAAAAAA